rnacentral:rRNA from 1 species
AUUGAACGCUGGCGGCAGGCCUAACACAUGCAAGUCGAACGAGUGGCGGACGGGUGAGUAAUGUCUGGGAAACUGCCUGAAGGAGGGGGAUAACUACUGGAAACGGUAGCUAAUCCCGCAUACCAUCAGAUGUGCCCAGAUGGGCUUAGCUAGUUGGGGGGGUAACGGCUCACCAAGGCGAAGGUCCCUAGCUGGUCUGCGAGGAUGACCAGCCACACUGGAACGGAGACACGGUCAAGACUCCUACGGGAGGCAGAAGUGGGGAAUAGUGCACAAUGGGCGCAAGCCUGAUGCAGCCAUGCCGCGUGUAUGAAGAAGGCUUUCGGGUUGUAAAGUACUUUCAGCGGGGAGGCGUUACCCGCAGAAGAAGCACCGGCUAACUCCGUGCCAGCAGCCGCGGUAAUUC